GCUUCGCGCGGCCUCCCGGGGAGGCGCUCGCCUUGUAAGCGAGAAGGGCGGUUCGACUCCGACGCGGAGCUCCA
rnacentral:tRNA from 2 species